rnacentral:rRNA from 2 species
AUGGCUCAGGACGAACGCUGGCGGCGUGCCUAAUACAUGCAAGUCGAGCGAACAGAAGGGAGCUUGCUCCCGGAUGUUAGCGGCGGACGGGUGAGUAACACGUGGGUAACCUGCCUGUAAGACUGGGAUAACUCCGGGAAACCGGAGCUAAUACCGGAUAGUUCCUUGAACCGCAUGGUUCAAGGAUGAAAGACGGUUUCGGCUGUCACUUACAGAUGGACCCGCGGCGCAUUAGCUAGUUGGUGGGGUAAUGGCUCACCAAGGCGACGAUGCGUAGCCGACCUGAGAGGGUGAUCGGCCACACUGGGACUGAGACACGGCCCAGACUCCUACGGGAGGCAGCAGUAGGGAAUCUUCCGCAAUGGACGAAAGUCUGACGGAGCAACGCCGCGUGAGUGAUGAAGGUUUUCGGAUCGUAAAGCUCUGUUGUUAGGGAAGAACAAGUGCGAGAGUAACUGCUCGCACCUGAC